rnacentral:rRNA from 1 species
UGAGGAAUAUUGGGCAAUGCUCGAAAGAGUGACCCAGCAACGCCGCGUGGAGGAUGAAGGUAUUCUAUAUCGUAAACUCCUGUGAGAGCAGACGAAAGACAGAUUAUUAAUCUGGAUGACUGUAUGCUCAGAGGAAGCCCCGGCUAACUACGUGCC